UCUACAGGCUUAACACAUGCAAGUCGAGGGGCAGCAUCAUCAAAGCUUGCUUUGAUGGAUGGCGACCGGCGCACGGGUGAGUAACACGUAUCCAACCUGCCGACAACACUGGGAUAGCCUUUCGAAAGAAAGAUUAAUACCGGAUGGCAUAGUUUUCCCCGCAUGGGAUGACUAUUAAAGAAUUUCGGUUGUCGAUGGGGAUGCGUUCCAUUAGGCAGUUGGCGGGGUAACGGCCCACCAAACCGACGAUGGAUAGGGGUUCUGAGAGGAAGGUCCCCCACAUUGGAACUGAGACACGGUCCAAACUCCUACGGGAGGCAGCAGUGAGGAAUAUUGGUCAAUGGACGAGAGUCUGAACCAGCCAAGUAGCGUGAAGGAUGACUGCCCUAUGGGUUGUAAACUUCUUUUAUACGGGAAUAAAGUUAGCCACGUGUGGCUUUUUGUAUGUACCGUAUGAAUAAGGAUCGGCUAACUCCGUGCCAGCAGCCGCGGUAAUACGGAGGAUCCGAGCGUUAUCCGGAUUUAUUGGGUUUAAAGGGAGCGUAGGCGGGUUGUUAAGUCAGUUGUGAAAGUUUGCGGCUCAACCGUAAAAUUGCAGUUGAUACUGGCGACCUUGAGUGCAACAGAGGUAGGCGGAAUUCGUGGUGUAGCGGUGAAAUGCUUAGAUAUCACGAAGAACUCCGAUUGCGAAGGCAGCUUACUGGAUUGUAACUGACGCUGAUGCUCGAAAGUGUGGGUAUCAAACAGGAUUAGAUACCCUGGUAGUCCACACAGUAAACGAUGAAUACUCGCUGUUGGCGAUAUACAGUCAGCGGCCAAGCGAAAGCAUUAAGUAUUCCACCUGGGGAGUACGCCGGCAACGGUGAAACUCAAAGGAAUUGACGGGGGCCCGCACAAGCGGAGGAACAUGUGGUUUAAUUCGAUGAUACGCGAGGAACCUUACCCGGGCUUAAAUUGCAACUGACUGAACCGGAAACGGUUCUUUCUUCGGACAGUUGUGAAGGUGCUGCAUGGUUGUCGUCAGCUCGUGCCGUGAGGUGUCGGCUUAAGUGCCAUAACGAGCGCAACCCUUAUCGAUAGUUACUAGCAGGUCAUGCUGAGGACUCUAUUGAGACUGCCGUCGUAAGAUGUGAGGAAGGUGGGGAUGACGUCAAAUCAGCACGGCCCUUACGUCCGGGGCUACACACGUGUUACAAUGGGGGGUACAGAAGGCAGCUACACGGCGACGUGGUGCUAAUCCCGAAAGCCUCUCUCAGUUCGGAUUGGAGUCUGCAACCCGACUCCAUGAAGCUGGAUUCGCUAGUAAUCGCGCAUCAGCCACGGCGCGGUGAAUACGUUCCCGGGCCUUGUACACACCGCCCGUCAAGCCAUGAAAGCCGGGGGUACCUGAAGUACGUAACCGCAAGGAGCGUCCUAGGGUAAAACUGGUGAUUGGG
rnacentral:rRNA from 1 species